rnacentral:rRNA from 1 species
AUGAUGGUGACCUAAACCCUCACCAGAGUAACAAUUGGAGGGCAAGUCUGGUGCCAGCAGCCGCGGUAAUUCCAGCUCCAAUAGCGUAUAUUAAACUUGUUGCAGUUAAAAAGCUCGUAGUUGAAUUUCUGCGUUAUCGAGUUAUUGACUCUUGUCUUUAAUCGAUUUCGCUUUUGGGAUUUAUCCCUUUUUACUUUGAGAAAAUUAGAGUGUUUCAAGCAGACUUUUGUCUUGAAUACUUCAGCAUGGAAUAAUAGAGUAGGACUUUGGUUCUAUUUUGUUGGUUUUUGAACCUUAGUAAUGGUUAAUAGGAACGGUUGGGGGCAUUCGUAUUUAACUGUCAGAGGUGAAAUUCUUAGAUUUGUUAAAGACGAACUACUGCGAAAGCAUUUGCCAAGGACGUUUCCAUUAAUCAAGAACGAAAGUUAGGGGAUCGAAGACGAUCAGAUACCGUCGUAGUCCU